rnacentral:lncRNA from 1 species
AUACAGAGCCCUAAAAUUAGAAGACCCCAAACGACGGGUUACUGUUCGUCUUCUCCAAAUUCACGCGAACAAGGCCCAAAUUCAGGAAAAAUCCAUGGCGAGUGAACAUUAAACAUCACACCACACGUUCCCCCUUCUCUCCUCUAGCCAUAGCUAACCGUUUCUGAUAGAUUCCCUCUCCCUCACAUGCUCUCUUUGAUUUUAUUUUGAAUUUUUACCUUUUGGAUGAUAUAUGGAAAAAUGGGGAGCGUUGGAUUGGAUGGAAUUUGAUCGACUCCCUCAAUUUGUCCAUUUUUCAUCAGAAGAAGGGAAAAAUCUGAGAUUUCGAGGGUAAAAAAUCUGUUUAGGAAAGGAUUUUUCGUUGGGGGAUUUUUCUUGGAGAGGAUGGAGGAAGAUUCGAGAAGAUUGGAAGGUCUAUAUAAGGUGAGGUCAUUUCUGGUGUAAGGUAUUUUUUUUGGGGAGAGAGAGGAGAGUUUCCGGAAGAUUUUUUUAGAAAACUAAGAGGAAAAAUUCUGUUUUGGUUUUCAUUUUUUCGUCUGAAAACAAAAAAAAUGAUAUUGUGAGUGUUCUAUGAUUUCAUUUCGAUGUUGAUUGUUGUUUGAAAUUUCGAAAUCAAUAGAGUGGAAUCACUUCACUUCGGUUCUGGAUUUGGUUUUACAAUGGAAUUUACUUGAGAAGUUCGAGUCCAUUAUCGCUCAAGGCAUCGAUUUUGAGUCGCUUUGGUUCUUCUUCGAUUUCAUUUGUGCUGCUGAUUCUGAUUGUUUUAAAGCUUCUGAACUUCAGCUUUAAGUUGACAGUCCCUUUACUUGAUCUAUUUCAAUUUAUUGCUUUCUAUCUAGGUAUGUUUACGCACCUCUGCCACCCCAUAAAUGAAUCAUGAAUAUGACCAUACUUAUUUAUGUUUCAGUUCUGUUCAGAUUCAUAAAUCUAUUAUGUGUAAUUGCUAAACUGGUUUGAAACUUCCACCCUGUCCAGUUAUUGGAAUUAUCAGUAUGCUAAAGUUUAGACAUUUGGUUUGUUAAUGUUAAUGGUUAAUUUAAUGGUUAUUGUUGAUGAUCUUUCACAAGUCUGAUGGUUCACACCUAAAAUGAUACUAGCAAAGUGAAUUCAUCCUAAUCGUUAGACUGCUUAAAACUUGCUCUGUUUUCGCAUUGUUAAAAAGCAAAUCUACACAGUUUUAAGUGCAAAAUUCUGCACUGAUGGUUCGCAAGGUUUUCAGUCUGCUGGAUAGUCCAUGUGUUUAUCUGAGGUUUGUUUGAUUUUACGAUUGUUGCUCAAACCGAAUAAAUUGGUGCAAUUAUAUGCAAUCUUCAGAAAAUCUCGUUUGAUUUCUUCUUUGAAUUGAGCCAUUGAUGAAUUUGGGUGAUUUGGAGAAGUCUGUUCUUUUUAUUUCAUUUUCUGUGAGUCUAUGAUGGUGAUUCGAGCUUAUGCGAAUAUGUUGCGUUGAAAGGUCUAGAGUAGCAGACUUUAAGCAUCGUUGAAACCAUUUUAUUCGAUCAAAUACCCUCGCUGUUCAUCUGCCUAAAGGACAAAGCAACGAAGAAGACCUUCAACCAAAAACAACCCCCUUCCCAUCAUUCUACUUCAACGAAGUCUUGAGUGCUGAUGAUUUUGUCAAAUGUGUUCAACUUCAUUAACCUUAUAUUCCCUCGUCCUGUGUUGUCGAUUACAGAUCAUUUUUAGCCCAUUUGGAUAUUUUUUGUGAAAAUGCCAUGAAGUAAGGAUUGAUAAAGCACCUCCCCCCCCCCCUCAAUUAUACUGAAUGCAUUGUAUUUCAAUUGAAAUUUUCUUGAAUUAGAGGAUUAAUCUACUCGUGUAAGUGGAAACACAAUGGCCUGGAGAUUGUACACAUACAUACUGAAUAUUUAGGAGUGGUGCUUUGGCAUAAAUUGCUUUUGGAUGACAUCUGCCUUCAUUGUUAAGGCAUCAUUAAUAAUUUGUUAGAAUCACAUGUGCUAAUGUACAGUAGUAUGUGUCGUUUCUUAGCCUUUCAAUUUUUAUAAUUUGCAGUACUUCGAUAAUGGCUUUGGGGGCGUUGGAAGCUGAAAACCAAUAUGGG